rnacentral:rRNA from 1 species
AUGACGGUCCUAAGUUGGAACUGCCGGGGACUUGGGCAACCCCCGACAGUCCAAGAACUCGUAUGCCUCGUGCAUACGUACAAACCCAAGGUGGUGUUCCUCUCUGAAACGCGACAAAGCACCUCGUACGUUAAUAAUCUGAAGUGGAGGCUUGGCCUCAAACACUGUAUUGCGCAGCUGGGCAUUGGGAAAAGUGUCGGCAUUGCGCUUUUCUAUGAUGAAAAUGUGGAAGUAAUAAAGCUUGCCGUUGGACCGAGGUAUAUUGAUGUGCUAAUCCGUUUGAGUUCAAAUGGGAUACAAUGGCGUGGUACUUUUGUUUACGGCGAACCAAAGGCCCAUGAAAGACAUAAUAUGUGGAAUCUUUUGCGUAGAAUCAAACCUAAUUCUAGUGCUCCCUGGAUGAUGAUAGGUGACUUCAAUGAAACUAUGUGGCAGUCUGAACACAUUUCAGUAGCAAAGAGGUCAGAGAGGAACAUGGAGAACUUUAGAAAGGUACUGUCAGAGUGCAACCUGAUGGAUCUAGGAUAUAAAGGACCUAUCUGGACAUACAACAACAAGCAAGACGGACGCAGCAAUGUAAGAGCGAGGUUGGAUAGAGGAGUUGCUACCCCUUCUUGGUCUGAACAUUUUAAGUAUGCAACGGUUGAGCACAUCUGUUCCUCCCGCUCGGACCACCUGCCAAUCCUCUUGAGACUGGGAGGACGGAAGGAAUGGAGGCCGGUAGGAGAGAAGACACAACGUCCUUUCUGA